GGCUUCCGACAUGCUCGACGCUGCAGCGGGCCACGUGGCCUGAGGUCUCUCCGGUGGCACUUACUUAGCUCAGCCCUCCUUGUCCCCGUGCCCGCCGCGUCCAGGCGGCCGGGACCCGGGUUCGACGUCAGCUCGGCGCCCCCUCGGGAGAGGCCGUCCCAGCCCCGGGGAAGGAGCACCCGGGAAGCCCUGUGAGGGACGUCCUCGGGGUGCCAGGGGCCCUUCCCGGGAAGCACCCUCGUGGCCCGGGUUCCCGGAACCUCUCGUGCCUGUGGCUCGGACGCUUAAAGGAUCUCGGCCACAGGGAGCUUCAAGCUCCUUUUUUAGUGUGAAAAGAUAACAUUUCGAGAAUCAAACUGACCAGGGGCGGAGGCGCCCAGGCUGGGACGGUGUCCGGGUUCUUGGCGCCUUGGGGGCUCCGGCCUGUACAGUGGUUCUGCUGACGCGGACACAGGCAGUUUAGGAAGUGCGUGAGACCGUGGAUCUGAAACGCUUUAAGUUUCCGCAGGAUCGGUAUAAUUCCGGAGUUAGCAACAAACGUAGGUUCAGUGCAGUUACAAGAUGCUGAUGAAAUUAAGGGCUGGUGCUUGAGAGGCAGAAUUGUGGUGCUCGAAAGAAGCUUUUCAAGUGGCCCGGUGUUUCAUUGGUUUGAAUCCUGGGCGCAGACAUGGCACUGCUCAUCAAACCACGCUGAGGCAGCAUCCCACAUGCCACAACUAGAAGGACCCACAACGAAG
rnacentral:lncRNA from 1 species